UAGGGAAUCUUCCACAAGUGGACGAAAGUCUGAUGGAGCAACGCCGCGUGAGUGAAGAAGGUUUUCGGAUCGUAAAGCUCUGUUGUUGGUGAAGAAGGAUAGAGGUAGUAACUGGCCUUUAUUUGACGGUAUCCAACCAGAAAGUCACGGCUAACUACGUGCC
rnacentral:rRNA from 1 species